GACGUAGGGCGCGAGCGUUGUCCGGAAUUAUUGGGCGUAAAGAGCUCGUAGGCGGCUUGUCGCGUCGGCUGUGAAAACCUGGGGCUCAACCCCGGGCCUGCAGACGAUACGGGCAAGCUAGAAUUCGGUAGGGGAGACUGGAAUUCCUGGUGUAGCGGUGAAAUGCGUAGAGAUCCGGAGGAACACCAAUGGCGAAGGCAGUGUCCUGGGGAGUACCUGACGCUCAGGUGCGAAAGCCAGGGGAGCGAACGGG
rnacentral:rRNA from 1 species